rnacentral:rRNA from 1 species
GCCAACCUUCUAGCCCCGCCUUCUUAAUUUACAACCUUUAUCUUUUUUCCCCACCUCAAAACAUUUUCUUAUCUUAGUAAAGGCGAUUAAAAAGUUUUAUGGAGCAACACAUAUAGUACCGUAAGGGAAAGAUGAAAUAAAAUGAAACAAUCUCAAGCAUUAAAAAGUAGAGCUUAAUCCUCGUACCUUUUGCAUCAUGAUUUAACUAGUCUAACCAAGCAAAAAGACUUUCAGUUUGACCUCCCGAAACUAGGCGAGCUAUUUUAAGACAGCUUACUGAGCUAAUCCGUCCCUGUUGCAAAAGAGUGGAAUGAUCUUAAAAUAGAGGUGACAAACCAAACGAGCCGAGUGAUAGCUGGUUGCUCAUGAAAAGAAUUUUAGUUCCGCUUAAAGAUCUGCCAGUCCACCAAAACCUCAUCUUUAAAGUAAUUCAAAUAAGGUACAGCCUAUUUGAAAAAGGAUACAACCUCGACCUCUGGGUAAUCAUUUUUAAAACGAAAUAGUAGGCCUAAAAGCAGCCAUCUAAUAUAAAAGCGUCAAAGCUUACUCAUCCCCCUUACAGAAUACCUUUACUUUUUCUGAACCCGUCACUAUUAAUGAGCGACUCUAUAUAACUAUAGAAGAUUUUAUGUUAAAACUAGUAAUAAGAAGUCAGCCCUUCUCCUCAAUGUAAGUGUACGUCAGCAAGGACGCCCCACUGAUUCUUAACGCCCCUAACAACGUAAUAGCAACCCAUCAAGAAAAUUCUAUUCCAACCAACGUUAACCUAACACAAGAACAUUCAAGGAAAGAUUAAAAGAAAAAGAAGGAACUCGGCAAAUUUUAGCCUCGCCUGUUUACCAAAAACAUCGCCUCCUGAUACUCCCAUAGGAGGUCCAGCCUGCCCAGUGACAUUGUUCAACGGCCGCGGUAUCCUAACCGUGCGAAGGUAGCGUAAUCACUUGUUCUUUAAAUGAGGACUAGUAUGAACGGCUUCACGAGGGCUAUACUGUCUCCUCUUUCUAAUCAAUGAAACUAAUCUCCUCGUGAAGAAGCGAGGAUAAACCUAUAAGACGAGAAGACCCUAUGGAGCUUUAAACAACUGAAAUACUUGCUUACAACUCUUAACUUCCCGAAAACACUAUUCAACUAAGCACUUUAUUCAUAGUUUUAGGUUGGGGUGACCACGGAGCAUAAAUCCACCUCCAUGCUGAAAGAAGGUUCUCUUCUUAUCAAAGAGCUUCAGCUCAAUGCAUUAAUAAAUUGACUCCCAUUGACCCAAUAUUUUGAUCAACGAACCAAGUUACCCUAGGGAUAACAGCGCAAUCUAUUUCAAGAGCUCAUAUCGACAAAUAGGUUUACGACCUCGAUGUUGGAUCAGGGUAUCCUAGUGGUGCAGCCGCUACUAACGGUUCGUUUGUUCAACGAUUAAAACCCUACGUGAUCUGAGUUCAGACCGGAGCAAUCCAGGUCAGUUUCUAUCUAUAAAGAGCUUUUUCUAGUACGAAAGGACCGAAAAAGCAUGGCCAAUACUUCAACAAGCCAUAAAUUUUUAACUUAUGCCCCAACACUCAAUAAUUAAAAACCUCCCACCCGCCUCAAGACAAGAACCC